UCCCUAGUGGCUCAGAUGGUAAAGAAUCUGCCUGCAAUGCAGGAGGCCCAGGUUCAAUCCCUGGGUUGGGAA
rnacentral:tRNA from 1 species